AUUGAACGCUGGCGGCAGGCCUAACACAUGCAAGUCGAGCGGAUGAAGGGAGCUUGCUCCUGGAUUCAGCGGCGGACGGGUGAGUAAUGCCUAGGAAUCUGCCUGGUAGUGGGGGAUAACGUCCGGAAACGGGCGCUAAUACCGCAUACGUCCUGAGGGAGAAAGUGGGGGAUCUUCGGACCUCACGCUAUCAGAUGAGCCUAGGUCGGAUUAGCUAGUUGGUGGGGUAAAGGCCUACCAAGGCGACGAUCCGUAACUGGUCUGAGAGGAUGAUCAGUCACACUGGAACUGAGACACGGUCCAGACUCCUGCGGGAGGCAGCAGUGGGGAAUAUUGGACAAUGGGCGAAAGCCUGAUCCAGCCAUGCCGCGUGUGUGAAGAAGGUCUUCGGAUUGUAAAGCACUUUAAGUUGGGAGGAAGGGCAGUAAGUUAAUACCUUGCUGUUUUGACGUUACCAACAGAAUAAGCACCGGCUAACUUUGUG
rnacentral:rRNA from 1 species